rfam:Tomato bushy stunt virus pepper isolate, complete genome.
GAAAUUCCCCAGGAUUUCUCGACCUAGUACGUCUACCUGGUGACUUGCGCUGUCUGUUGCUUUGCGUAGGGAAUUUCUCUCCAAUAUUAUUAUCUUUAAUUUGGGGUUUGAAGGUUGGGUCUACCCUUCGGGGGGAUAAAUUGUAACUUCCAACAAAUAAGCGACAUG